rnacentral:piRNA from 1 species
ACAGGUGGCAUGGGGAGCAGCUAGA